UACACAUGCAAGUCGAACGGUAACAGGUCUUCGGAUGCUGACGAGUGGCGAACGGGUGAGUAAUACAUCGGAACGUGCCCGAUCGUGGGGGAUAACGGAGCGAAAGCUUUGCUAAUACCGCAUACGAUCUACGGAUGAAAGCAGGGGACCGCAAGGCCUUGCGCGGACGGAGCGGCCGAUGGCAGAUUAGGUAGUUGGUGGGAUAAAAGCUUACCAAGCCGACGAUCUGUAGCUGGUCUGAGAGGACGACCAGCCACACUGGGACUGAGACACGGCCCAGACUCCUACGGGAGGCAGCAGUGGGGAAUUUUGGACAAUGGGCGAAAGCCUGAUCCAGCCAUGCCGCGUGCAGGAUGAAGGCCUUCGGGUUGUAAACUGCUUUUGUACGGAACGAAAAGACUCCUUCUAAUAAAGGGGGUCCAUGACG
rnacentral:rRNA from 1 species